AAACUGCCUGAUGGAGGGGGAUAACUACUGGAAACGGUAGCUAAUACCGCAUAACGUCGCAAGACCAAAGAGGGGGACCUUAGGGCCUCUUGCCAUCGGAUGUGCCCAGAUGGGAUUAGCUAGUAGGUGGGGUAACGGCUCACCUAGGCGACGAUCCCUAGCUGGUCUGAGAGGAUGACCAGCCACACUGGAACUGAGACACGGUCCAGACUCCUACGGGAGGCAGCAGUGGGGAAUAUUGCACAAUGGGCGCAAGCCUGAUGCAGCCAUGCCGCGUGUAUGAAGAAGGCCUUCGGGUUGUAAAGUACUUUCAGCGGGGAGGAAGGGAGUAAAGUUAAUACCUUUGCUCAUUGACGUUACCCGCAGAAGAAGCACCGGCUAACUCCGUGCCAGCAGCCGCGGUAAUACGGAGGGUGCAAGCGUUAAUCGGAAUUACUGGGCGUAAAGCGCACGCAGGCGGUUUGUUAAGUCAGAUGUGAAAUCCCCGGGCUCAACCUGGGAACUGCAUCUGAUACUGGCAAGCUUGAGUCUCGUAGAGGGGGGUAGAAUUCCAGGUGUAGCGGUGAAAUGCGUAGAGAUCUGGAGGAAUACCGGUGGCGAAGGCGGCCCCCUGGACGAAGACUGACGCUCAGGUGCGAAAGCGUGGGGAGCAAACAGGAUUAGAUACCCUGGUAGUCCACGCCGUAAACGAUGUCGACUUGGAGGUUGUGCCCUUGAGGCGUGGCUUCCGGAGCUAACGCGUUAAGUCGACCGCCUGGGGAGUACGGCCGCAAGGUUAAAACUCAAAUGAAUUGACGGGGGCCCGCACAAGCGGUGGAGCAUGUGGUUUAAUUCGAUGCAACGCGAAGAACCUUACCUGGUCUUGACAUCCACGGAAGUUUUCAGAGAUGAGAAUGUGCCUUCGGGAACCGUGAGACAGGUGCUGCAUGGCUGUCGUCAGCUCGUGUUGUGAAAUGUUGGGUUAAGUCCCGCAACGAGCGCAACCCUUAUCCUUUGUUGCCAGCGGUCCGGCCGGGAACUCAAAGGAGACUGCCAGUGAUAAACUGGAGGAAGGUGGGGAUGACGUCAAGUCAUCAUGGCCCUUACGACCAGGGCUACACACGUGCUACAAUGGCGCAUACAAAGAGAAGCGACCUCGCGAGAGCAAGCGGACCUCAUAAAGUGCGUCGUAGUCCGGAUUGGAGUCUGCAACUCGACUCCAUGAAGUCGGAAUCGCUAGUAAUCGUGGAUCAGAAUGCCACGGUGAAUACGUUCCCGGGCCUUGUACACACCGCCCGUCACACCAUGGGAGUGGGUUGCAAAAGAAGUAGGUAGCUUAACCUUCGGGAGGGCGCUUACCACUUUGUGAUUCAUGACUGGGGUGAAGUCGUAACAAGGUAACCGUAGGGGAACCUGCGGUUGGAUCACCUCCUUACCUUAAAGAAGC
rnacentral:rRNA from 1 species